CACCAGGCUGUUUCUUCACUUUCCCAUUCUGUACUCUUCUUGACUUCUCAAUUCUUCUUUCGCACUCACACAGCGAGAUGUUCCUCUAGCCCGAUCCCCUUUCUCCUUUCCCCAAUCUCUCUGGUCACUCCAAAAUUGCUGCUGCCGAAUAGCUCCCAUCAACUCUGUUGUUCAUGCUCACCUGCAGCCACCCCCGCAAAUGGUGCUUCCAUAGUGUAUCCGUCGACGGCGGCUGGUAUGGUCCCUCAUAUGCCUCGGUCUCCUUGGAUUUUGAAUGGCGAUGGAUAGUAGGGCCGAAAGAUUAGCCGCAGCAAGGAGGAGGCGUGAUCAUUCAUCUGCAAAGUGCCGUUAUUGUAGGCGUCCGUACAGUUGAUUUGGGCGUGGAUUUCGUCUCCUGUAGCCUCGCUUGGAUCCAGCUUGAGUAUUAGGAUGCCGGCGACAUUGUCUUCCCCAAGUGCGCAAGGCAGACACAUUGUUUGUAUUCCCGCUCGAGGUAGUCGGGCACGUCGUCGUCAUCCCCCACGGCGUCAACAAUCUCCAAAGUUGAAAGUCUGCCCUGCAGAGAAGGUGUGACCGGGGGCUAUGAGCUGUACCAUUGUAGACAUGGACGAUGAUGCUGAGAGGAUCCAUACCGAUGCACAUCAAGUGCGUCUGGUUCUCCAAUAUCCAAACACCCUGGUUAGUGGUUCUCCAAUAUCCAGUUGCGCUGACUAGUGGUUCUCCUAGUGGAACUGGACGCCAAGACCAAUAUGGCGAUUGUACACUGGUGCGGGUCCAUCAUCCAUCAUAGUGGUUCUCAAAGCAUUCUUCACCAAGUGUUCUUCACCAAAUGAUCUUCGCCAUCUCCUUUGAUAGGUAUGUAGUAUGAACAUGAGCAGGGAGCGGCGUAGCAUACGCUCGGCUGGGCGUCCAUGAGAUCGUUGGUGGCGAAGCCGACCUUGUCAAGGUUGUAGCUCUUGUUGUCGAGCCGGACACAGGCGACACACACUUCGUGGUUGAGCCCGACAUAAGGCAUGCGAUAGGCUGUUGAGCUCUCUGUAGAUCUGUGUCUUUUCUAGUAAACAAUUUAACAAUAGGUGGUAUGCAUGAACAGAUAUAGCAUCAUUUUUUUUCUGAAUCCAGUAAAUAGAAAGGGCUAAAUUAGUACAAACACGCAAUCAGUAUCUAUGCAUUAUGAUCUAAAUAUAAUAUAAAAAUAGAUUUUUGCUAAUAGUCAGAGUAAUUUGAAACAACCUCUGUUUUGCUAAUGAUUAAAGAUUAAUUUCUCAUCUAACUUGUUCAAGGCGUAAGACAAAGCAAAACUAAAAAAAUAAAAUCAGUUCCAUCUAUCUUAUUCACCUUCUCUUGCUAACUCGCCCCUCUUUAGAUAUAUAGUCGGUGUAGUGACCCUAGCAAGUUGCAGUAGAGCUA